rnacentral:rRNA from 1 species
GACGAACGCUGGCGGCGUGCUUAACACAUGCAAGUCGAACGAUGAAGAAAAGAAUCGAAGCUUCGGCAGAAAUUCAUUUCGGAUUAGUGGCAGACGGGUGAGUAACGCGUGAGCAACCUACCUCUUACAAAGGGAUAGCCUCGGGAAACCGGGAUUAAUACCAUAUAACAUUGCGACGAAGCAUUUCGAUGCAAUCAAAGCUACGGCGGUAAGAGAUGGGCUCGCGUCCCAUUAACCGGAUGGUGAGGUAACGGCUCACCAUAGUGACGAUGGGUAACCGGCCUGAGAGGGUGAACGGUCACACUGGAACUGAGACACGGUCCAGACUCCUACGGGAGGCAGCAGUGGGGAAUAUUGCACAAUGGAGGGAACUCUGAUGCAGCGACACCGCGUGAGUGAUGAAGGAAUUCGUUUCGUAAAACUCUGUUCUAUGGGAAGAAAAGGACUGUACCAUAGGAGAAAGCUCCGGCUAAAUACGUG